UUGUGCGGUCUUCUUCCUCUUCUCUUUUUUCAAUUUUCUUCUUCUACUCAUCUUCAGCAUUCUUCUUCUCUUCUUUUUCUUAUUUUGCAGUCAUACAGAACUCUUCUUUCUGGAUUUAUAUUGGAAAAUUUUGAGUAAAUUGAAGGUGAUAUGCGACAAGAAGGAUUCUUCUCGGGUUGAGGUAGUCGGAGUCCAUUGAGAUAGUUCGAGCCUCUCUAAAGAGAAACACAACCUAGGCUUUUCUAGUUUAGUGUAGUACCCAUGCGGAUGAGGGGGUCUAUACCUCCACGCUCUUCCCAAGUCAGGACCAGAUAUGGCUAGUGUUCUUCUUGUUUUUUUGGACCUGUUCUUGCAGCUUAUUGGGCUUCAAAGUCGAUUUAUUGGGUGAUCCAACCUUGGACAAGACGAUUGAAGGAUUUUUAUAAGCUUUUAGCGCAGGCCCAGGUAAUAGUUCCCUCCGAGACUUGAAUCUUUCUUUUCACUUCUCCUCAACUAGCUUCUUGGUCUUCUGGGUUAACAUCAUUCCUUAUAUCUCAUGUGUCCAGGUUUAUAUCACACACUCUCACAACCUAUAGAUAUAGUUUCACACAUCAUAUAUAAUUUAUACACAUAAUAAUAUGUCUCCGUAUAAGAUUAACCCAAUCUUACCUACAGUCUGAUCAAAAAGGUAUCUGAAUCCUUAACAGUUCAUGUCUAUCAUCUCUUAAUCCCCGUCACCAUUUGGAUGUUUACUUUGUUUACAACAAAAUACAGACAUUAUUAACGACGAAUAAUAUCAAAAAUGAUACAAAAUGAUAGAAAAACUGAUUAUACUUUUGACACUCAGUCUCCAAUCACCAUAGUCGCAUCACCGCAUACCGAAUUGACACGCACUAAGACAUGUGCCACCAUUAGAAUCAACACGCAUUACCACACACACCACUGCCAGAGUCGCCAUGUGCCGCUGCCGCUUUGGCUGAAACACCAUAGAACCAUGGGGAGUCUAGAUCUGGAGCAGAUCUUGCUGAAAGCACCGGAUCUGGCUACCUGCGCCGUCUAACCGCUCCUCCCCUGCGCAUUUUUCGCGAUCUACCUGCUCUUCCCUAUCAUACGCCUCACCUUCUGGUUCCUCGUGUGAAACUGCAAAGCUAGUUUCUUCUUUUUGUUGCACACGAACUUUGUAAUAUCCAGACCUAGGUAAGCAACCCAACCCAUCUGUUUUAAAAUGAUGCAGUUUUGAAGCUAAGCAUUUGAAGCUCAAAAAGAUGCAACUUUGAGAAACCCCAAAAUGACGUCGUUUUAAUGAAAAAAAUAAAUUAACGGUGAAGAUUUUUCUCCAAAUUCCACGGUUCAGAUUUAAUGAGGACCGCUAUAAAUAGGUUCAGAGUUUAAAAAAAUGAAAGAAGAAAACCUUAUCCUCCAUAUGAUCAGGAAAUAAGAGAUGAAGGGGAGGUAGCCAUGGAGAGAGAGAGAGUAAGAGAGAGAGAGAAUAUGCGAGGAACAGUGGAGGAACAUAAAAUCCAAAGCUCCUUUGACAUUUUCCACCACCGCCAAGGUAGGUCAUAGUAAGCUCUUUUCUCUGAGUUUACCACAAGCCGAGCAAUUUGUAUCCCAUUUCCUACUUUCUUUCUCAUCUUUCGUAAUAGUAGGUGUAUAUAAGUGGCAAAAUAUGUAAAUUAAGUGAAUAAGCUUUAACAUCACCAUGGAAAUGCACCGCUUGGCUUUAGAUUUAA